AUGGUGGUGAGCCAUUCACCCAGCGCCACCAUCUCCUUCUCCUCCCCGAAGCCAUCCAUCUCCACCGUCCGUGCCCAGCGCCAACCAGCACCGCCUCCAUCCAUCACCCAGCGCCACCACUACUCCUCCUACCUCCAGUGCCUACAUCCACCACACCAGCCGCUCCCUCACGCGCCGCAUCAGACACUCCGGCGCGAGUGUCUGGUCACCCGCGUGAGUGCGCCACCCAACUCCUUCGCCUCGGAUCUAUCUCACAGACCACCAGUGUGCCACCACCAUCGCCAACUCCCUCUUCCUUCUUCUGCUCUCUGCCUGCUGCUGCUUCUUCUUCCCACGCCCCUGCUGCUGCUUGCUCUCUCAAUCUCUGCUACUACUUCUCCAUCUCUUGCUGCUACUUCUUCUCUGAACCUCAUUUCUUCUCCUUGCAUCCCCUUGUUGCUGCUCCAUUCCCAAACUGCUGCUACCUAUUCUUCUUCUUCUCUGAACCUUUGUCCUUCCCCUCGUUGCUGCUCCUCACUUGCGCUAGCUGCUCCUGUUCCCUACGCCUCUGCUACUGUUUCUUGCUUCUCUUCUGAACCUGAAGCUCUCUCUCUCUCUUAUCUCAAACUGCUAUAA
rnacentral:rRNA from 1 species